UAGGGAAUAUUGGUCAAUGGGCGCAAGCCUGAACCAGCCAUGCCGCGUGCAGGAAGACGGCCCUCUGGGUUGUAAACUGCUUUUGAUAGGGAACAAAUGCCACUUGCGAGUGGAGCUGAGUGUACCUAUAGAAUAAGCACCGGCUAACUCCGUGCCAGCAGCCGCGGUAAUACGGAGGGUGCAAGCGUUGUCCGGAUUUAUUGGGUUUAAAGGGUGCGUAGGCGGCCCAAUAAGUCAGUGGUGAAAGCCUCCAGCUUAACUGGAGAACUGCCAUUGAUACUGUAGGGCUUGAGUAUACUUGAGGUAGGCGGAAUUGACAGUGUAGCGGUGAAAUGCAUAGAUAUUGUCAAGAACACCAAUUGCGAAGGCAGCUUACUAAAUUAUAACUGACGCUGAGGCACGAAAGUGUGGGUAUCAAACAGGAUUAGAUACCCCCGUAGUCC
rnacentral:rRNA from 1 species